rnacentral:rRNA from 1 species
UACGGGGGGGGCAAGCGUUGUUCGGAAUUACUGGGCGUAAAGGGCUCGUAGGUUGCCAACUAAGUCAGACGUGAAAUCCCUCAGCUUAACUGGGGAACUGCGUCUGAUACUGGAUGGCUUGAGUUUGGGAGAGGGAUGCGGAAUUCCAGGUGUAGCGGUGAAAUGCGUAGAUAUCAGGAGGAACACCCGUGGCGAAGGCGGCUCUCUGGGUCCGCCCUGACGCUGAGGCGCGAAAGCGUGGGGAGCGAACGGG